rnacentral:rRNA from 1 species
CAUAUCAAUAAGGGGAGGAAAAGAAACCAACUGGCAUUCCCUUAGUAACGGCGAGUGAACAGGGAGAAGCCCAUCGGUGAAGAAUCGCAAGAUUCGGUGUCCGGUUCGGAUUGGUGCUAUGUUGAAGUUUAAUUGAAACUUGAAAUCUGUUGAAAAACAGUUUCAUAGAGGGUGAUAAACCCGUAAAAGUUUCUUUAUCUUUAACGUCGGCCCAGUCUAAUGAGUAGAGCUAUUUGAAAGUGUAGCUCGAAGUUGGAGAUAUGUCUCUCCAAAGGCUAAAUAUAAUUGCAAGUCCGAUAGCGAACAAGUACCGUGAGGGAAAGUUGAAAAGCACUCUGAAGAGAGAGUGAAAAGUACGUGAAACUGUUGAAGGGGAAUUGAAGGGAACGUUACUGUGUUCAUUGCCGUCAUUUUACAAUGAUGGCUUGCGAACAGUGGUGUUGUUUUUGAAAGCCAUUGAUUGGGGCCACAGUCACCAAUUGUUUUCGAACUUUUGGUUGGUGUGCGCCAAUAACUUGGAUUAGAUACUUUUCCAUGCAUUGUGUUAGUAAAAUCAACACCAUAUUCAGUGUUCUCUCCAACCCGUCUUGAAACACGGACCAAGGAGUUUGAGUUGCCCGCAAGUGAUUGUGCCGAUUGAAGGCGUACACGCGUAAUGAAAGUAAAUAUUACUUAGCUUCGGCUAAGUGAUUACUAUGUGGUGAUAGCACUAAAACAGUGUCUGGCAACCACGAGCGGUCUAACCACUUCGGUGUGUGAUCGACUUUUAGCGGGUAGCUCAAGACCCGAAAGAUGGUGAUCUAUGCUCGGGCGGGGCGAAGCCACGGGAAACCAUGGUGGAGGCCCGAAGCGGUUCUGACGUGCAAAUCGAUCGUCUGACCUGAGUAUAGGGGCGAAAGACUAAUCGAACCAUCUAGUAGCUGGUUUCCUCCGAAGUUUCCCUCAGGAUAGCGAAGGCUCUUGCUAAGCUGCGAAAGCAGUUUCAUUGGGUAAAGCGAAUGAUUAGAGGUCUGGGGAAACUUGUUUUCUCCACCUAUUCUCAAACUUUAAAUCGGUGAGAUGUCCUUGUGACUUAAUUGCACUUGGACUAUGAAUGCAAGCCUUCAGUGGGCCGUUUUUGGUAAGCAGAACCGGCGAUGUGGGAUGAACCAAAUGUUGGGUUAAGGCGCUUAACUACUUGCUCAUGAGUAACCACAAAAGGUGUUGAUUGAUAUUGACAGCAGGACGGUGGCCAUGGAAGUUGGAAUCCGCUAAGGAGUGUGUAACAACUCACCUGCCGAAUCAAUCAGCCCUGAAAAUGGAUUGCACUAGAGCUCGUGGCCUAUACCUAACCGUGAAUGUCAAUUUCUAUCAAGUUCCAUCAAAUUAAUUUUUGUUGGGCAAUAUAGAAUAAUAUGAUGCGUGAACAUUGUUUACGUGGAUUAUACAUUCAUGAGUAGGAGGACGCAGCAAUUGCGUUGAAGGAUACGCGUGAGCGUAUUCCUGAGCGAUUGCUGGUGCAGAUCUUGGUGGAAGUAGCAAGUACUCAAAUGAGAACUUUGAGGACUGAAGUGGGUACGGUUUUCAUGUGAACAGCGUUUGAACAUGAGUUAGUCGAUUCUUAGAGACAGGCGAAAGCCUUAAUCAUGUAUUGUUAGUUUCAAACUUGCAACUACUGUGUCUCGAAAGAGCAUCGGGUUAAAAUUCCCGAACUGUUUCUAUCGGCUUUACAGGCGGUAACGCUAGCCUAAUCUAAUUGGAUUGUGUGGCCCUGAUGGAGAGUUCUCUUUUCUUCAUAACAAGCAUUUAGUGUCCUUGGAAAUGGUUCGUCCAGCGAUAAGGCACGCAGCUUGGAAGAGCACAGCAGCAUUUGUUGUGUAUCAGUUGGUCAGAUGGUCCCUUGAAAAUUAGAUGAAGCAUUGCCAAUAGAGACAAUCGUACCAAUAACCGCAUCAGGUCCCCAAGGUGAAAAGCCUCUGGUCUUGGAACAGUGUAGGUAAGGGAAGUCGGCAAAUCAGAUCCGUACCUUUGGAACAAGGAUUGGCUCUGAUGGUUGGGUACGGCAAGCCAUUGAUUUUAAGCAUCAAUUGGUCUUUUCGUGUGGUGGUGUAGCUUCGGUUGCGCUGCUUGCGUUUGGCUGAUUGUUUGUGUAAGAAUCUUUGGUCAAUCUGCUGUACAUUAACAACCAAGCUCAG